rnacentral:misc_RNA from 1 species
GUGCUUUCCUGAUACCCUUUGCCGUAAUGCUUGUUCUGGAAGGGAUACCUCUUUUCCUGAUUGAACUGGGUAUUGGACAACGAAUGCGGCUGGGAUCCAUGGGCGUCUGGAACACAAUACACCCUUGGCUGGGAGGAAUUGGCAUUGCUAGUGGAAUAGUCACGUUCUUGAUCUCGUUGUACUAUAACGUCAUCAUCACCUGGUGCUUCUAUUACCUGUUCAACUCAUUUCAGAGUCCUUUGCCCUGGGCAUCCUGUCCUGUAAUCAAUGGCACAGAAAUUGCUGAGUGUGCAAAAUCCUCUGAGACAGCUUAUUUCUGGUACCGAACAACACUCGACGCGUCACCAGCGAUUGAUGACCCACAGGGCCUGAAAUGGUGGAUUGUAGUCCUCCUCCUAUUGGCCUGGACCAUAGUCUUCUGCAUAGUCAUGAAAGGCAUUCAAUCUUCUGGGAAGGUUGUCUAUUUCACAUCCCUGUUCCCAUAUAUAGUCCUUACAAUCUUCUUCAUAAGAGGAUUAACAUUAGAAGGUGCUAAAGCAGGAAUAAUCCAUAUGUAUACACCAAAGGUUGAAAAGCUUCUUGAUCCAACUGUGUGGCUUGAUGCAGCUACACAAGUAUUUUAUUCAUUUGGGUUGGCUUUUGGAUCGCUCAUAGCUUUUGGCAGUUACAAUCCGCCAAAAAAUAACUGUGUUCGUGAUGUUAUUCUUGUUUCUAUUGCAAAUGCAUGUACUGCUAUUUAUGCCAGUGUGGUCAUCUUCUCAAUUCUUGGUUUCAAAGCCAUGACUAUUGUACAUAAAUGUAUUGAUGGGAACACAGAAAAACUAUUGCAUUUUGGUUUCAAUGUAUCAAAAGAUGAUUAUGAAGACUUCAUGAACAACUUUGGAAAUAAUGACACUAUAAAAGCAUUGCAGCUAGAAGACUGCAGCUUGGAAAAGCAGCUAGAUGAGGCUGCAGAGGGUACAGGUCUCGCCUUCAUAGUCUUCACAAAGGCUAUUGUUGAGCUGCCAUUCUCACCUUUCUGGUCUCUAAUUUUCUUCAUGAUGCUGCUGGCCUUGGGCCUUGGUUCGCAGAUUGGCAUUCUUGAGGGAAUGCUUUGCACAAUUUUUGACAUUGAAAUACUGAAGAGGGUGCGAAAACAGUACAUAACAGCUGCUGUCUGUAUUGUGUGCUUCUUUGUGGGUCUCAUCUUUUGCUCUGGUGCUGGAGAGUAUUGGCUCAAGCUGUUUGACUCAUUUGGAGGCACUAUUGGACUUGUACUUGUUGCUUUACUUGAAACAGUUGCAGUUAUGUAUGUUUAUGGACAUGAAAAGUUCACUAAGGAUAUUGAGGACAUGACAGGAUACAGACCAGGAAUUUACUGGCAGAUAACGUGGAGACUACUUGGUCCACUACUGAUGACAGUAAUUCUUGUGACAUCAGUGAUUUUCAUGAUAAUUAAUAAACCAAAAUACCAUGCAUGGAAUGCAGAACUGGGAAAAACUGUUGCGACAGAUUACCCUGAUUGGGUAAUGGGAAUAGCUAUAUGUAUGGUUGUUGCUGGAAUUCUUCCAAUGCCAAUUGUAUUUAUUCUGAGGAGAUGUCAGUGCUUGAAGCUAGAUGUAAACAUUCACCAAGGUUCUAUCAGAAGAAUUGAGACAACAGUUUCUACGAAAGAAAUGAUGGGAGAUGUUGAUGUUGAGACUAUGGAACCACCAAGGCUUCCUUACUCAGAUGUUAUGUGACUCACCUUCUAAUUCAUCACGCAUAGCAAUAAUAAUGUAAACAGAAAUUUAACACUUUGAUGAAUAUCAUGAUAUACCCCAAGAUGGUUCCGAUUUUGUUGAUGAUGACGAUGAUGAUGAGCCCCCAAAUAUGGGAUCUUUGAAACAACAGAAGAGAGAAUUUGCCAUGGAAGUAAUGGACUAAGUAAU